rnacentral:misc_RNA from 1 species
GAAACGCGAUAAGUAAUGUGAAUUGCAGAAUUCCGUGAAUCAUCAAAUCUUUGAACGCACAUUGCGCCCUCUGGCAUUCCGGGGGGCAUGCCUGUCCGAGCGUCAUUACGCACCCUCAAGCCCGGCUUGUGUGAUGGGCCCCGGCGUCUCGUUCGCGAGACGGGCCCGAAAGGCAGCGGCGGCGUCGACCCGAUGAGCCCGAGCGUAUGGGGACUUCUGUCACACGUUCGCGGUGCGGACCGGCGCCUGCUUGACUUUUCUGAUUAUCCAGGUUGACCUCGGAUCAGGUAGGGAUACCCGCUGAACUUAAGC